GUGGGGAAUAACUUCGGGAAACCGAGGCUAAUACCGCAUAAUACCCACGGGUCAAAGGAGCAAUUCGCUUGAGGAGGAGGUCGCGGCCGAUUAGUUAGUUGCGGGGUAAUGGCCCCACCAAGACGGUGAUCGGUAUCCGGCCUGAGAGGGCGCACGGACACACUGGAACUGAAACACGGUCCAGACUCCUACGGGAGGCAGCAGUGGGGAAUUUUGCGCAAUGGGGGAAACCCUGACGCAGCAACGCCGCGUGGAGGAUGAAGUCUCUUGGGACGUAAACUCCUUUCGAUCGGGACGAUUAUGACGGUACCGGAAGAAGAAGCCCCGGCUAACUUCGUG
rnacentral:rRNA from 1 species